CCUACGGGUGGCAGCAGUGGGGAAUAUUGCACAAUGGGGGAAACCCUGAUGCAGCGACGCCGCGUGAGUGAAGAAGUAUUUCGGUAUGUAAAGCUCUAUCAGCAGGGAAGAAAAUGACGGUACCUGACUAAGAAGCCCCGGCUAACUACGUGCCAGCAGCCGCGGUACUACGUAGGGGGCAACCGUUAUCCGGAUUUAAUGGGGGUAAAGGGAGCGUAGGCGGGAAGACAAGUCAGAAGUGAAAGGCCAGGGUUCAACCCUGGGACUGCUUUUGAAACUGCCGGGCUGGAGUGCAGGAGAGGUAAGCGGAAUUCGUAGUGUAGCGGUGAAAUGCGUAGAUAUUAGGAGGAACACCAGUGGCGAAGGCGGCUUACUGGACUGUAACUGACGUUGAGGCUCGAAAGCGUGGGGAGCAAACAGGAUUAGAUACCCGUGUAGUC
rnacentral:rRNA from 1 species